UACGUAGGGUGCAAGCGUUGUUCGGAUUUAUUGGGCGUAAAGAGCUCGUAGGCGGUUGGGUAAGUCGGGCGUGAAAACUCCAGGCUCAACUUGGAGAUGGCACCCGAUACUGCUCUGACUUGAGUUCGGUAGGGGAGUGGGGAAUUCCUGGUGUAGCGGUGAAAUGCGCAGAUAUCAGGAGGAACACCGGUGGCGAAGGCGCCACUCUGGGCCGAAACUGACGCUGAGGAGCGAAAGCGUGGGUAGCAAACAGG
rnacentral:rRNA from 1 species